rnacentral:rRNA from 1 species
ACGGAUUCCCGCGAAGCAAAAGUAUUUAGUUGCCGCCUGGGGAGGACGGUCGCAAGGCUAAAACUCAAAAGAAUUGACGGGGGGUCCCCCAGCGGUGGAGCAUGUUGCUUAAUUCGGUGCACGCGAAGAACCUUAUCCUGGGCCUGACAUAUACGGAUCCUACUGGGAAACCAAGUCGGUUUCCUUCGGGGUGAAACGUAAACAGGUGCUGCAUGGCUGUCGUCAGCUCGUGUCGUGAGAUGUUGGGUUAAGUCCCGUAACGAGCGAAACCCUUGUCGUUAGUUGCCAGCGCGUUAUGGCGGGGACUCUAGCGAGACUGCCGGUGUUAAACCGGAGGAAGGUGGGGAUGACGUCAAGUCCUCAUGGCCUUUAUGCCCAGGGCUGCAAACGUGCUACAAUGGGUGGGACAAACCGAAGCGAGACCGCGAGGUGGAGCAAAUCGGAAAAACCCAUCCCCAGUUCGGAUCGCAGUCUGAAACUCGACUGCGUGAAGGUGGAAUCGCUAGUAAUCGCAGAUCAGCUAUGCUGCGGUGAAUGUGUUCCUGAGCUUUGUACACACCGCCCGUCAAGUCAUGGAAGCCGGUAGUACCCGAAGUCGCU